rnacentral:tRNA from 2 species
UGGCGGAUCGUCUAAUGGUAGGACAGAGGUCUCUGACACCUCUAAUCUAGGUUCGAAUCCUAGUCCGCCAGCCA